UACUUGACCAAACCAAUUAAA
rnacentral:piRNA from 1 species